rnacentral:rRNA from 1 species
GGCGGCGUGCCUAAUACAUGCAAGUCGAACGCACUCUCGUUUAGAUUGAAGGAGCUUGCUCCUGAUUGAUAAACAUUUGAGUGAGUGGCGGACGGGUGAGUAACACGUGGGUAACCUGCCCUAAAGUGGGGGAUAACAUUUGGAAACAGAUGCUAAUACCGCAUAAAACCUAACACCGCAUGGUGUAGGGUUGAAAGAUGGUUUCGGCUAUCACUUUAGGAUGGACCCCGCGGUGCAUUAGUUAGUUGGUGAGGUAAAGGCUCACCAAGACCGUGAUGCAUAGCCGACCUGAGAGGGUAAUCGGCCACACUGGGACUGAGACACGGCCCAGACUCCUACGGGAGGCAGCAGUAGGGAAUCUUCCACAAUGGACGAAAGUCUGAUGGAGCAACGCCGCGUGAGUGAAGAAGGUUUUCGGAUCGUAAAACUCUGUUGUUGGAGAAGAAUGUAUCUGAUAGUAACUGAUCAGGUAGUGACGGUAUCCAACCAGAAAGCCACGGCUAACUACGUG